GCAUGAAGGAUAAAAGGGCACAGAGAAAGGAGGCGUAAGGGAUUUGAAUUCGAAUUAUUUUCUCAUCCAAUUAGGUUCUUAACCCAACCAAAUUAGCUUAGAACUAAUUAGACCACUAAACCUUAUCUAAUUAGAUAGUAAAUGAUUUUAAUUAAAUAUUAAUCAAAUUAAAAAUUAAUCAAGCUCAAGUUCUGAUCAAAUCAAGAAUCGAACAUCCUUAGC
rnacentral:lncRNA from 1 species